GGGGAUGCCAGGAUUCGAUAAUAAGGUUAGCUUUAUCGCAUUCAGUUCAUGUUUCUCAGUAGUCAUGCCAAAAAACUGAAAUUCACAAGUGCAAAAUCUGCAUUAAGCAAAGUAAGCUUUAAAAUGCCUGCUUUCGCUCCUGUUGCCGCUUAAUAGCCGCGACCAUCCGUUCUAGUAACUCCUAAUAGCUAAAAACGGGUGUCAUAUUUAUUAGGAUAGGCCAAGCUCCCUCUCGAGGGUUCGGAUGAAAACUUAGAGAUCGUUGUGUCUGGUUUUGAUAGAUUUUCUACAUUCACAACUAAACACCAAAUCUAUCUAUUUCUGUAAAUUUGCCAUAAAGUUCUUGUUAGACAGGGGUUCAACUCCCCUCAUCUCCACAA
rnacentral:tmRNA from 1 species